rnacentral:rRNA from 1 species
CCUACGGGGGGCUGCAGUGGGGAAUAUUGGGCAAUGGGCGAAAGCCUGACCCAGCGACGCCGCGUGGGUGAUGAAGGCCUUCGGGUUGUAAAGCCCUUUCGUGCGGAAAGAACAGCCCUGAGUUGAAUAUACUCAGGGUUUGACGGUACCGCAGGAAGAAGCACCGGCUAACUCCGUGCCAGCAGCCGCGGUAAUACGGAGGGUGCAAUCGUGGGUCAGGAGUAUUGAGCGGGUAGUGCUAGUCGGCGGUGAAAUCCUCCGGCUCAACUGGAGAACUGCAUCUGAAACUUCACAACUAGAGUACAGGAGAGGGAAACGGAAUUCCCGGUGUAGAGGUGAAAUUCGUAGAUAUCGGGAGGAACACCAGUGGCGAAGGCGGUUUCCUGGCCUGAUACUGACGCUGAGGCGCGAAAGCGUGGGGAGCAAACAGGAUUAGAUACCCCAGUAGUC